rnacentral:rRNA from 1 species
CGGCAACAGCUCAAAUUUGAAAUCUGGCCCUUGUGGUCCGAGUUGUAAUUUGUAGAGGAUGCUUUUGGUUAGGUGCCUUCCGAGUUCCCUGGAACGGGACGCCAUAGAGGGUGAGAGCCCCGUCUGGUUGGACACCGAGCCUCUGUAAAGCUCCUUCGACGAGUCGAGUAGUUUGGGAAUGCUGCUCUAAAUGGGAGGUAUAUGUCUUCUAAAGCUAAAUAUUGGCCAGAGACCGAUAGCGCACAAGUAGAGUGAUCGAAAGAUGAAAAGCACUUUGAAAAGAGGGUUAAAAAGUACGUGAAAUUGUUGAAAGGGAAGCGCUUGUGACCAGACUUGGGCCCGGUCAAUCAUCCAGGGUUCUCCCUGGUGCACUUUUCCGGCUCAGGCCAGCAUCAGUUUGUCGCGGGGGAUAAAGACGUUGGGAAUGUGGCUCCUCCGGGAGUGUUAUAGCCCUUCGUGUAAUACCCUGCUUCGGACUGAGGUUCGCGCAUCUGCAAGGAUGCUGGCGUAAUGGUCAUCAGCGACCCGUCUUGAAACACGGACCAAGGAGUCGUCUUCGUAUGCGAGUGUUCGGGUAUCAAACCCCUACGCGUAAUGAAAGUGAACGCAGGUGAGAGCUUCGGCGCAUCAUCGACCGAUCCUGAUGUUCUCGGAUGGAUUUGAGUAAGAGCAUACGGGGCCGGACCCGAAAGAAGGUGAACUAUGCCUGUAUAGGGUGAAGCCAGAGGAAACUCUGGUGGAGGCUCGCAGCGGUUCUGACGUGCAAAUCGAUCGUCAAAUAUGGGCAUGGGGGCGAA